GCGUUGGUAGCUCAGUAUCAACAUCUUUAUUCGUAUUUUAUCCUCUGGGGUCGAAGAGUGAAGGUUAUCGGUAAGAGCAACUAGAUCGUAAUCUAGAUUGUCGUGAGUUCAAAUCCCACCCAACGCACCA
rnacentral:tRNA from 1 species